AAAAAAAAAAAACUUAAUUGGGUCGGACCGAUUAUCCCUUGACCGGGCUUGGUCCGGACCGGAUUAACCAGGCUUAACCAAAAAAAUAAAUUCACCCGAGACCUAGUACCCUAAAGCUCUUGGACUUAUCGGGCCAGAUCAAACCGAGUUGAUUUCAUUAAAUGGGCUGGUUCGAUCAACCCGACCCAUUUGACAGGCUUAGUUGACACACGUUUUUCUCGCUAAUUACCUUUUGAUCAAAUCUAUAUUUCGGCCCAUUUAUUUUCCAGGGAUAAAAUAGUAAUUCACUUUCUCCACAUAUAUGCUAUAAAUAACCCCCACAGCAGCUAAACUCUCCCAUCAGUUAAUUAAAAAAGCAAAGGCCCAAAAAAAAAAAAAGACGUCUGACAGUUAAUCAAUGGCAGCGAUUCAGUCUUGCAUUUUCAGUUAUCAGCUAUAGAUUCCUAUAGUAAUUUUGUAUGUGCGAAUAUUUUUAUGGUUGUAUGUGCAUACAUACUAGAUCUGACUAACUGUUCAUCUUCGUUUUUUACGGCUCAUCUUUUUUUCAGCAGAGUCUUUCAGUUGUACGUUUCGGUUCAGUUCCGGUUAUCUCCAACGUAUAUAUAAAUCGUCACUCCCGAAGUCGAUGGACUUAGCUGCUUGUGGUUAUGCGGAAAAAAUUGGUAAUUAUAGAGGUUCGAUCUAUGUGAUACAAUUGAUUUUUUACUUUAAAUAUUUUUUGUGUGUUUGUUUUUGGGAUGGUUGAGAAUUCUGGAGGCAGCGGUUGAUCGAUCUGUUCCCUGCAAAGCUAUAAACAAAAUAUAGCAAGCAGGAAUCGAUCGAUAAACCUCUGCAUCCGGCGCGCUUAUAUCAACCUAACAUUGUGAUAUUUGUUUUUCUCUUUUUUCCUGAAUUGCAAUGUUAGCGUGUCGAUCUAGUUGUCUCUUUUUGCUACCUGGUAUUCUGUUCGAGGUUUCGAUUACUUUGAAUUUGUGUUGAGUAAGAUCUAUUUUAGAGUAAAAAAAAUUUAUACGAAUUUUUUUUGAGGUCUGAUUAAUUUGGGUUUGCAUGCCUGGAUAGCUAGGAAAAAUGUUCUAUAUCUGAAAUUUUGAGUUGUCGAUUAAUUUGAAUUUGCAUUGCUUAAGGUCACUCGGAAAAAAAAAUAUUAUCUGAAUUUUUUUGAGGUCUCAAUUAAUUUCGAUUUGCAUGGCUUAAGAUCCCUUUAAGGAAAUUUUUUUUAUGAUAUUUUAGGGUUGAUUUCAUGGAUGUAGUGUACCUCAAAAAGUUUUUUCUUUUUAUUGAAAAAAUUGAAACUAAAAUAUUUUAGGUGGUUUACUAGUACUCUUGUUUUGAUUUUUUCCUAAUUUCUUGUCAUCUUGUUGAAUGGUUUUAGCUACUUGUUUUUUUUUUGUUUGGUUGGAGUUCUGUGUGCUGUGGUUGUUUUAGAUGAGGACAAAUCUUCAUUUAAAAACAGGAUGUAUUUUGCCCUACUUUAGUUUGGUUAUCUCCGAUUAAAAACGCAAUUUUCUUUUAAUCACUCUAUUGUCUCUAUUAAUUUUCAUAUCAUUGUAAAUCCUAUCAUUAUCAUGGAGUUUCUCUUUGUAUAUGUACCUAGAUUAUUAACUGCUAUUCGCUCAGCCUUAUUUCAAGUGACACAACUGCCAUUUGAAGAUUUUCUUUCUUAAAAAAAGUUCAUUUUUUCACGUGUGUUUUAAAUAUUUUAAUUUGUUAGUUAUGAUAUCAUUUUUAUUUAAUUUCAAAAUAUUUCAAAUUUUUUAUUUUAAAGUUGAAAAAAUAUUUAUAUUGAAAUUCAUAUAGAAAAUUAGAUAAUUAAUGGUAUCAGAAAUAGGUGUGUGGAGCCUAAAGGACAAUUGUUUUCGUUGAAAUUUCCGAAGGAGUAGGGAAUCAAAAAAUUCUGAAGGGGCAAAAGCAUGAGCAAUCUCACGCUUUACCUCACUCAUUUAACGAACGUCAGUUAAAAUGGAAAAUGAUAAGCAAGUGACUUGCCAUGCCUUGCAAAGCAGCACAGUUACACUUUGUUUGUCCAUUUUUGCAGCCAAACUGUUGUGUAAGUCUGAUAAUUUGUAAGAGGCCAUAAAUUUCUUUGCUUUCUCUAGGCAUUAAAUAUGAAGUUGUGAAUAAAUGGUGAUGACAAGGCACGAACAACACUACGCCUUGUAAGGUAUAAAAGCCCACUGACAUUUGUAUGCAACCUUUAAUUUUAAAAAGAAAUGCCUAGGCGGGACAACUUUUACACCUUGCAGGGUGUGGUGAUGUCACUGCUUUGUCAGCACCAACUGUUCAGGACAAUUUUCUUAUUCUAACGCCUAGGAAAAGCAAGAUAAUUUAUUCAAUCUUACCUUUUUUACACAUUGUUAGCCUUAUACAUCAGUUCUGGUGCAAAAAUGAAAUAAGCAAGGCUUCGGUGUAUGUCCACCUUGUAAGGCAGGGCAGGUCACUUAUCUUACUAUUCUUCAUUUGACUAAUGUAUCUUAAAUGAUUAAGGUAUUCUUCAUUUGACUAAUGUAUCUUAAAUGAUUAAGUUAUGGAGUGAGGCAGCUCGCAUUUGCUCCUUCAAUUUUUUUUUUCUUGCCUCAUCAAAAUAUUUAAUAAAAAAAAGAUUGUCCUUUAUAUUCUAGACUCUCAGGAAUAGGGUGGUACCACCUUGGCUCCUACAUUGUUUGUGUAGUGUAGUUUAUCUUUUUUGGAAACGAUACUGUUUGUACUUUUUUGGGGUUCUGAUUAUACUGUUACAUUUUUAGCUUCUUGAUGCAUAAAUUAUACUCCCUUUUCAUAAUAAAUGAAUUAUUGAAUUUUGACAUACAUAUUAAGAAAAAAUCAUUAAAGACAUAAAUUUAACAUAACAUUUUAUUUUUACCCCAAAAAAAGGAAAAAAUUGACCUUGUAAUACCUUUUCAAAAGUUAAUUGAUUGUCAAAUUAUAAGGACAAAUUUGAAAAAAAAUUCAAUGAUUCACUUAUUUUGAAACAUCAAUAAAUAUCUUAAUAAUUCACUUAUUCCGAAACAGAGGGAGUAAUGAUUUUAAAUUAUGUUGCGGACUUUUUAAAAUUGAUAUUCGGAUUUUAUUGGUUCUUAAAAAUAUAUUAUUUUUGAAGAAUUUAACACACAUGCAGUAUAAUUGAAGAGUCUGAGCAACAUAAUUUUAAGAGAAACUUGUAAUAUAUAGAACAUAUCCGUUUUUUCAAAUUUCUAUUUAGAUUUGUUACUUGUCCUAUUUAUUUGUUGACGAUCCAAAUUUAUUUAACUAAUAAAUACUCUUCAUUAGGGUUAAUAUAUUUUUAUUUUAGGAAUAAAAUACUCUCAACUUUAGCAUUGGAAGAGAUCUUCAUUUCCAAAAAAUACUCCUUGUUGAUAAGAUCUCUUACGAAAGUUGAGAGAAUAUUUGUUUUCCUAGAAUAUAUAUAUUAAUCAAGGUUAAACUUAUUAGUUAAAUAAACGAAGUUGAAAAUUUCAUUGGCCAGUAGACCUCUCAGCAUUCGAAUAACACGAAGUAAUCUUACACUCGUGACGUUCCAGCUCACUUCCUUUUUAGUUGAUGAACUAGCCUCUCAAGUUUCCUCACAAUAUCGAUCAAACUCACCAUGUCCCAAAUCACUUCUAUCAUCUCUGGAACAUGCAUUAAAAAAACCUUAAAUCACUAAAGAAGUUCUAUUCAUCAAGAACUUUAAGAUUUUGUUAUUGCAUGUUCUAGAGAUGGCAGAUUCGGAGAAAUUGAGAGGCUUGUUCAUCAACUACCGUGGGAGCGAGCUAGACACCACUAGAGGAAGGUUGCUUCGUGAGAUUUGAAGAUUGAGGAGCCCACUGCCCAUUUUCGGUUAAUAAUAAUAAUACUUAAUAAUUAGGUAUGUUUUUUCAUCAUACAUAUUUUGUUUUAUUUUUAUUGAAUCUAAUUAAGGUAGUAAAUAUUUUGUAUUUAUGAAUGAAAAAUUAUGCAUUUGAUUGACUUGAGUUUAUUCUUUUUUAUUUUUAUUCUGUCAUUUUUUUUUUCUUAAGAGGUAGUGAAAUAAAUCAAUCACAAAAAAUAUAAUAGAUGAGUUGGUUAAUACUAGGAAUCACUCGUACAUUUCCUGUGGUUUUGGGUUCGAUGUGCUUUUCCAACUAUGUACACAUGUAUUGGUUAGUUAUCUACGUUUAAUAUAAGAAUCAAUUCCUCAGCACAACUAUUUGAGUCGGGCGGCUGUAUCUCUAAAGAAAAAAAAAAAAACAUAGUCCGCCUAAAUUUGAGGGACCUCAUUUUUUACGAUAAUAUAUUAUAACUUUUUUAAGAAAAAAUUUAAAUAUUAUUUAUAGUAUAAAUCUUUUUUAUAUAUUAUAAAGAAAGAAUUAUUAGAAGAAAUUUAUAUAUAGAAUAUUAUGUCUCAAGAAAGAUUAAGUGUAUUAAUUAUAUUAUUACUUAAAAUAGUAUAAUUAGAAAAAAUUGAUGAUAGAACUUUUAAAAUAGAGUUUAUUAAAAAAAAAAUAAUUUUUCUUAAAAAUUUAAGGCCUCUGUUUAAUUUUCGCCUUGAAUCUUUAAGACUUUGUUUGAUUUUCGUCUUAGACAACAAAUAUACUUGAACAGUCCAAAGUUGUUACUAGUUGUGGGGGUUUCUUUUGUUUUCCUAACAGAAAAGUUUACCGAAACAUUUUAUCAUGGGUGAAACUCAUAUGACAAGGUGUAUGAGCUAUUACGUUUUGAAUAUAAAAUAUAUGGGUCCCACCUGUUACCCCUUCUCACUCCUUAUAGUUAUUUCUCUCUCGCUCUUUUUAACUAAUCAACCUUUUCUCCUUAUUUUUUCUCUUUUUUUUUUAUUUAAAUUUUUUGUAGUUUAACUUUUUUAAAUUAAUUUUGUUUGUGCACUCCUCGACUAAUUUUAUGAAAUAUUUGUCACACUUCUUUUUUACGUACUUCAAAAAAGAGAUUUCGUUUAAAGUCCAAAAAGAUUUUAUUAUUUAAGUGACAAGGAAUAAAAAUUUGUUUCGGAAAAAAAUUAUUUAUAUAUUUUUUUUUAAUUCAGAGUCGCCACUUAGCAUAAUCCGAUGUGCCAAGUCACCUUCAAAAAAUCCUUUUCGAAACCAUUUGACUCUUAAACUAGUUUGCGAACAGAGAUUCCGGCUAAGGAAUUCUGUUGACCGAGGGGAAGAUGUUAGGCACCCCUCGAUCCCGUGGUUCAACCACGGUCGCUUGGUAGAGUGUAUCAACUAUUUUGGCAUUACGAAAUGUAUAAACCACACCAAAGCACGCAAAAAUAAUCAAACAAAACAAAACAAAACAAUCCGAAAAUAUAAAGUCUAGUUCAAUUAUUACAACCCGAAAUAAAAGGUACUGAAAGUAAACCUACGUUAAUCCUAAACUAAGCUCCAAUGCUUUACCCGAUGCCUCGGGCCUUCACCACGAACGUCCUCCGGGUACAUGAUACCUCGGGGCAUUCCCCGGUGAAUAAAUAUAUACAGAUACUUCGGGACAUUCCCCGACCAAAUUAUACAAUUGAAUUAAAUGCAACAAAAAAAACCAAAAAAAAAAAAAACUAUUCUAACACAUAUUUCAAACAUGUCAUCAAUCCACCAUGCCUAAAUUUGCCUACCCGAAACUACCAUUUGCAUAUCCAAUUAGCGACCUAAAAUCGUGACACUAUCGAGUUCACCAACAUUAUUCAUGUUUAUUCCAAGUUGAAUAAAGAGUAACAAUAAAAUCAUUAUUAACCCAAAUUCAUCAUUUUAUCAAUAUCGUAAUUCCACCCCAAUUUUCCUUUUAUCAACCCAUUAAAACAUGAUCAAAUUCAUUCCUCAAACCAAUAUAGCCGAAUCACUAACGUCAUGAUCAACAUCAAUUAAAUAAAUCGAUCAACUACGAUAACUAAAGUGGCUCAAACACAUUGUCAAAAAUUAACCAUCAAACUCAAACAUGAACCACAUAAAUCAAGGACAUCAUCACAGAUAAAAUGAGAAAGAUAGAGUUGAAGAAUUUUGACCUUAAUUUUAUUUCAAGUCAGAUCGUUCGACUGAAGUCGCUUCACGGACUCAAUGAAUCUCGACUCUACAACCCGUUAACCCUCGAAUAGAAUCAACUCGGCCAACGAAACAAAACCCCGAUAAGUAUCCAAAAUUGAGACUGAGAAAAAGAAGAAAACCACAACCCCGAAUGACGAUUUAGUGGUCGGAACUGACACUAGCCGGUGGGAUUUGACCAAAAAAUAAGAGGCACGAGCUUAGAACGUGAUUUCAGAUCGUAAUAGAACCGGUGGUACUGUUUUCCGUCAGGUUUCGUCGGAACAGUAGCCAGGCCAUGGCUAUUGACGUUGAGCCGUGAUUCCGGUGGAUCUCCGGCGAUAACCCACCGGAGAAGAUACCUCUUACCUCAAUUUCGUUCUCGUCUCAGCUUUUCUCUCUCGAUUUUCUCCAAUCUCUCUCUCUCUCGCAGCUCCCUGUCGCUCUCUCGCAGCUCUCUAUCACCCUCUCCCUCUGUUCUUGCUACUGAUUGUUGUGCAUCAACAUCAGUGUGCGCGUGUGCACUCUGUUUCUGAGAAAAUCCCCCUUUUGUAUAUGAUGAUGGUGGUGUCCUGUGAAGAAGAAAAUACCAAUUCGAAUUUUUCUGUGUAGAUGUGAAUUUUGUUUUUGUUUAUGGAGAAGAAAAGAAUCCUCCUUUUUUUUUUUCGGUUUUCUUCCUC
rnacentral:lncRNA from 1 species